UGAGAGGAGGAGGGAUAAAUUAGGUGGUUGGGAUUAACAUAUACACACUACUAUAUAUAAAAUAAGUAACAAGGACAUAUUGUACAGCACAGGAAAAUUUAUUCACUACUGUGCAGUAGCUUACAUGGGAAAAGAAUCUGGAAGGAAUGGAUUUGUGUAUAAAUGAUUCACUUUAUUGUACAUCUGGAACUUACACUACUUUGUAAGUCAACUAUACUCCAAUAAGGUUUUUUUUUAAAAAAAAAAAAGAAAAAAGAGUUAAGUGCAAUUGACUUUCCUCUUGCCAAAUACCUGAACACCUCUUCUGGAGACAGUCACACAAUGUACUACACUGGAAAGAAUAAGAAGCUGGGCUCUUGAACAAUCUUGGGCUAUUCCUUCAGUUGGGCACUUAUCAGUUAUCAAGUCUGGUACUCAAUGAUUUAUUUACUCUUAAACAACCUGAAGUGGUGUCUCUUCUUAAUUGCUGAGACCCCGUUUUGCACCCUAGUGCCAAAUAGUCCUCCUGAGACUACUGAGUAAAACAACAGGAAAAGUUCCAAUAACCAUCACAAUCCUUAAUAAAAUGCAGCUCUUAAAGUAGACGACCUUCUGGAACCAUCCCAAGUAGCCUGACACUCCGCUGUUUUCUUUAGGCACUUCGUGAACCCAUCAGUUACUGAAAUUAGGUACAUUUAAUAAAUGUUUCCCUCUGCUGGCUACUUGGACAGUAAGAGCAAUUUUAGGGACUCCUUAUGUGUGCCUUAAUCAGAUGAUUACCCUAAAACAGGAAGGAAUUAUUGUGCAUAAGAACUGUGCUGGGAGGAGAUGUUUUUAAUAGAAAUAACAUCUGAAGAAACUGUUUAGAUCCAGAAAACUGUAAAUAAAUGAACAGAACUUGCAACACAUUUUGUAUUUGAGAUAAGUGAUUCUAAACAAGAUGACUGGAUUUUACACAGUGCUCAAAUACAUGUUGUGAAACCCAGAUCAGACAUACUUGCCGAAACAUCUUAAAUUUAGAGUUAAGUAAUGACUGGCCAAAUAAAUACUCAGUGCACUACUAAAUAAAUUAAAUCUGGUCUCUCUAGGCUUACCUUUGUCUUCAUCACUAGCUACAUCAAUUCUUCUUUCUAUUUUCUGUCUUAUUUUAAAAUUUUGAUCACAGUACAAUCAGAGGUAAAUUUCCAUAUAUUAUUCAAAAAUAAACAUUUUCUUUUAUGUUAUACUGUAGUAAAUUUCCUUGCUUUAUGAAGAAAACUUGUUUCUCAAAAGGCAAUCAGUCACAAUAGAUAUGGUAUAAUGCCAAUCACCACUAGAAAUGUUCCCUCAGUUUUAUUCCUUUUUAUCUUCAGCAACAUGAAGAGCACAUAAAAACCUCUUAGAUGUUUACAGAAAUACUUACUAGGUGAAGAAACUUGCUGUUUGUCCCAGAUACCAUUAGCUUGUCCUACCUCAAUGAGCUGGGCCAGCUAGACCGACUCCUCAUUAUGUGGAUGUCUGGGAUAUUCAUUUCAUCAGCAGAUGGGGUCUCCCUAAAUCUAUGGACUCAUGCCUUUUGCUACUAAUUAUGCAGUUUUAACCCUAAAUUUGUUUGAAUCAUUUAAAAGCAGGAUAGUUCUAUUUUGUUAUCAAGACAGCAAUCCAGAGCUGUUCAACUCCACUAAAAGUGGUAUACAUUGAACUUGUAAUCCAAAGCACAAGAAAAUUUUAAUACUGUAUAACAUUGCUUAAGAUUUGUUGAGAGCCUAAUAAGUGUGAGUUUUUAGGUUGAAAGGGGACAUUUUUAAAAUCUUCAGAAACUUAUGAAAUAGGAAGUCCUAUUUACAGAUUGAUUCCCUGUAAGAGGAAAUUGAUUCUUACUAAGGUAAAAUAAGUUGCUCAACCUCAUAUAAUUAGAAAAGUAGCAAAAACAAGUGUUAGUCCUAGAAAUUUACACUCCAGAGUCUGCUUUUUUGAACUGCUAUCUAAACACCAGCUGGUAGGCUAGCUAUUGUUUCUUUUCUUUCUUUUUUAGUUUAUUUUGGGUUUUUUUGGCAACAAACAUGAUACAAUAGGAAUGCUUAUGACGAUAUCUUGAACAAACAAGAUAAAACUUUUCAAGUAAAAGAAAACAAUAGAUUAGACUAUAGAAUUUAAAUAUAUUUUUUAAUUAGGGCAUUUUAUUUUUUAAAAAGGAAUAAUCAUCUACUACACAGAAAUCAAUAAAUAUCUUUUGAGACUGCACAAUGAGUGAAGUGAUGUUUUUGGUCUGGGGAUACAUAGUAGUUAAUAAUACAAAAUAGCUUCAAAUUGCAUAGUUUUAGCAAAUAGUGAUUAGGACAAAUGAUAAAGGAUGAUGAUGAGUGUACAGAGAAGACAGAAGAGAAAUCUCCGGGAGGCUAAUAUCUGAGCUGAGAAAAUAGCCAGGGCACAAUGAAGGAGAGAAGGUUCCAAUCAGAAGGUAUAUCCUACACACAGACCUGACAUGGAUUUGGCCAGUUAGAGAUGGAAAGAUUUGCAAUAUUGUAGCAGAAUUAAAAAAGAGAAGACCAAGGAGGAUAAAGAGGAAGAGAGUGGAAAGAGGUCAUGAAUGGUAAGAAGUGCACAUUGUACUGUAGUUUAGGAAGAGAAUAUUACGCAUGGGGUUGAUCUGUAAUAGAUUGUCAAUGAUUUGGUAAGAUAUUUCUGAAACAGACAGCUCCUGCAGUUUACAAAUUCUAUAAAGGCAUAUAAACGAGGAAAACAGUAGGGAAGGAAGACCUUAACCUAUACAUUUAAAUAAUUACAUAUAACUCUAGCUAAGUCAUUCCUGAAUAGAGACUGAACAUUAGAGAAACAUGUAGUAAUCAAGGUAGAGACUGACAAAUAGAUAUUCAUAGUGCCAGACAUUUGUUUUGCUUCUACCAUUAACAUAUAUAUCUAAUUAGUUUAUAUAGGUGACUCAUUUAGAUUGAAAACUUCCUCACACUGAAAAUCUGAAGAAAUAAAAGGAGAUAAAUAAGAGUUUACAAUCUGGUUAGAUCAUACAAUUUCUUAUGGAACAAGCUGGUACUGAGAUUUAGUGAGGUUAAGGGUUAGAGAUGGGAUGAAGAAACUUCUUUAAAAUAAGCACUACAUUUAAAAAACAACUUGGAAGAAAAUUAUAUAUCUCUAUCUUAUCAUAUUUCAUAUUGUUUGAAUGAAAAAUACAUCAAACUUUGAGAUCAAAAUUUCUUUCUACUAAGGGAUCUGGAAGAAUUCUACUGGACUCUUCUAAGGGAACUGGUAGAGUUCAAAGUACUUUACUGAGGAAUGAUUAGGUUACUUAGGCAAAGAGAUAAGGGAACAUCCAUGGAAGUGACUCUUGGUCUGAAACUACCUGAGGGAAAUAUUGUGCAGAGGAGGCUAAUUAACCAUAACACUCUGGAAUCAUAAGAGUUUGUAUUAAGACAGUUGCCAUAAUUCCUGGUGCCUUAUCAGUGACAAGGAACCCCAGUAUCACCUGGAACAAGCGUGGAGGUUCUGUGGAAAGAAAGUGAGGGAGAAGAAGAGAUAUGUGGGUCUCCAGCCAUCUCUGAAGGAGAAAGUCAACUACCUAUUUCAUUAAAAUAUCUUGAAAUAUUUAGAUAUGUUAAACAUUUUAAAAUAACUAUAUAUUUAGAAUUUAUUUUCAUAUUAGAAUGCAAAAGAAUUUUGACACACGAAUUCUGAACCCAGCUUACUUGUAUGAAAAGAACAGGAUUCCCAAAUUUAAUAGGUACAACAUCAUCAAUAUCUUGUCAUAUUUAUAGUAUCACAUAUGGCAAAGCAUUUUUUUAAGUUCAUGACCUAGUUGAUUCUCAAAACAGCCCUAUGCUUCACCAAAACUAGUUGGUACUAUUUCUGUUUGAGAGACAAGAAUAUUAAGUCACAGAUAUGUGAGUUGGUAGCCAACUAGACCCAAUCUAUAAAUCAACUAAUUCCAAAUCCUGUGUCCUUUCUUUACAUAGCCAGCCCUGUGUUUCUCAAAGUGUGAUCCCUAGACCAGGAGGCUCAGCACUCACCUAGGAACUGGUUGGAAAUGUAAAUUUCAGGCCCUCCUCCACACCUAAUGAAUCAAAAAUUCUAUGAAUAGAGCCCAGCACACCUAACUAGUCCCCCACACCACCCUGGUGACUUGGAUGCCUACUGGUUCUGAAGCCACAGUACUAGACCAUAGUGAUUCCCCAGCUCAUGGGAGUCAUGUGAGGAAAACUUCCUGCAGGAGGAAAAGUACACAUUCAUUCUCCAUAUUUCCUUGAUAAUUCCAUUAUCCUCACAUGUGUCAGUAGAGGAUGAUCAGUCACACAGCUGUGGCCCAUAUACUCACACUACUAGCACCAACCUAUGAAUUACUUAAUGAAUCAUUUGCUACCUGAUUCUUCUUUGUAUUGAUUUGAUUUGUAAAGUGAGCUGGAAACCAAUCAUUUUCCUUAGAGUGAUCACCGCAAUAAAGGGUCAGAGCCUGUGGUCAUAUGGAUUUCAGGCCAAGGAAGAACAAUUUUUUUUUUUGUCUGAGUCAAAAGCCAGCACAUUGAAAGACCCUACUACAUAAAAUUUCUCCCUCAUAAUAUUUUUGUUUGUUUGUUUUACAUUAUAAUGCUAUUUUAAUUUUUACUUUCUCAAGAUUCUACUCAAUCAUUGGAACUCUGUAGAGGAAUAAAAUGGAAAUCUAAGCUAUAAUUUUAGUAUGGCCUUUCACUGGGAUUUUUAAAAUAAAAGCUCUAAAAGUAAAAUACUAUGUAACACUUUAGGAUGUCAUCAAUCAUAGCACAAAAUAAUUGUAACUAUUUUCUUAUAAAUCACUAUGUAAAUUAAAAAACCACUGCCAACCAAUGAAAUGCCAUCAAACAUGAGGCAUUCCAAUUAAGACAUACUAAAGUAUGAAAAAGUACAUCUUAGUAUCAGUAAAAUAUAGUACACAUUUUACUGUAUAGUUGUGGCUGGCAUCUUCUUUCAGAAUGCUUAUGUAUUUUCUUUUCAAAAGCAAUGCUCAUCCAGCUCCAGUUAUAGUCAUUUUGCCCUUUGAAGUUAAGCAGUAGUCAUCCUAGCCUAAGAACUGUUUCAUAACAUCAGUAACUAAGCACUGUAGAUGGAAAAUACCCUUCUACAGUUUGGUAUCUGAGUUGCUAUGUGGUGUAAGGAAUCAGGCGAUUGAGAAAAUGAAGGCAGGGUAAUAGUGGAACACAGAGCACUCAAUGAAUUAAUCCUGAAUAAAUGCCAGUCAUUUUAAAUAUAAAAUCAUCCCCAAAUUUAAGAUUUCUAAGUUUUCAUAUGCUGACAUUUCCCUUCUUAAUUAGCUACCUUACUUCUUUAUAUUGGCUGUUGGAUACAUAUAAGGAAGCAAUGUUGCAUAAGACAUUUACAAAUAUAAAUGUCCUGUAAAUCCACUUCACCCUGUCUUUGCAGGGGUCAAUGUACUUGCAUAAGAGCACAACAAAGAGACAUGCUGAAACACAGAAAUUCUGAGCUGAACUGAAGACUAAGUCCCUGACUAAUUCUUGCACAAGAUGCUCCAUGAAAAGUAGUGCACAGAGUCUGCAAACUGUGUUUGCUCCAAAGUUCAGUAAAGUGGAACAGAAUAACUCAUAGUGUGAGAGGCAAAUCAGUAAGUAAAGACAAACUCCUCUCUGCCAAAAAGUAAAAAGAGAGAGUGUGUAUAUGUAUCUGUGUUUGCAGUAAAGCCUAUGGACCUCUUCUCAGAAUGUUUUAAAAUGUAUACAAUAAGUACACAGAUAACAUAAUAAACUACAUUGAAAAUAACUAUGAAACAUGGAGGAAAGUCAUGGUAUAAUGCAUCUAAUUUCGUAUUACUGUAUCAAAAAAGUAUAUUGAGUGGAAGGUCUGAUAUAGACCAUCAUUUCAAAGUAAGUGAGAGUAACUGAUCACUGGAAAUAUUUACACAACAGUAAAGUGAUAUGAGAAUAGCUAUUAUUUCUACAGGUGACAAGGUCACCUGUUUUACUGAUAUAGCUAUGGUUUGUUACCUGUAUUUAUAAUGGGAGGAAAUACAUUCCUUAAUUCUUGUAGCUAAUAAGGAGCAAUAUUAGUAAAAAUAAUGUAAUUUUUUCCAUCUAAGUUCAUGAACCACAUGAUUUUUACCCCUGGAUUCCUAGGAGGUCUGUGGACUCAAAUCUAAGGAACUCUGAGUUAGACAUAUGCUCACUAUCCAUUCAUCUAACCCCAUUUCCACACUAUUACUCAAAUCUUCUGCAGGUUGUAAAAUUAGAUAACCAAGUAUGCUCAUUCCUUGAUGUAAAGAAUUAAGCAGCAUCUCAGUAAGGGCAGGAAGGUAGGUCUAUUUGUAAGUAGACCUUCUGCAUCUAUUUUUACAUUUGAAAAGUUCUUUUGUUUAUCUUCUGAGUCUUAGCUGUGUUUCAGAUAAUUCAAUUGCUAAAAAAGUAUCACUGGAUAAUUUAUUCUGCAUUAGCAUAUUAAUAAUGUCAAGAUCCAAGAACACCUCAAUAUACCAAGACAAACUGCACAGCUUUUAGGCAGGCAGGGCCUAAGAUAUUCUCAUCACAAAAUAAUGGUGCUUUUUUUUUUAAAUCAUUGUAAAGUAUUCCAUUUGUCCCAAAACUUAUUAUAAUGUGAGGAUGCAUAUGGAUAUGAAAAUGUGAGAUAUAGGUGCUUCUCUCUCUAACCUUUUAAUUAAAUGGACAUACACUUAUUAUUUACCUAGAAUCCUGCAUAGCUUCCCAAGACCUCUGACCAUUCUGACCAUUUUGUUCAAAUAAGUUAAAAAAAAUUCUUCUUGCAACAUUUGCCAGGUGUAUUUUGUAUUUAAAUACAUCAUCUAAAAUAUUAAGACUUUUCUUGAAUGUUUAGAGUUGUUGAUAACAAUAAAAUUCAAAACUAUUAAUUCACAAUGCUUAAUCAUGUAUUCCUUAUGCUGUAGUAUAAUUAUUUCCUUCAUCUCCCACUUUUUUUUUCUGAUUAAGAAACUUUACUACAAAAUUAGCAAGGAACAAAGUUGAGAUUCAUACAUAGAUAUUCUGACCCCAAAAUGAACUCUUCCACACUCUCCUAUAAUUUUUCCUGCUUAUUUCUGCUUUAUUAUUUAAAGGAUUCACUCCCGCAAACCUGUUUUUCUGAGCAGAUAGGAAAUGAGUUAUUUCCAUCAUCUAGAUUCUAGUGUUAAUACUCAAUGCUUUUGCCCAAGGCCCACUGUUGCAAGGAAAUCAUUACUUCUUGAUUUAAUAUUAUAUUAUAUUCAAUAAUAUUUCUAUUAAAGGAAAUAUUGGAUAAGUGAUUACUGUCAGAAACAUAGGUUUGUGUUAACUGAAAUACUAUAGGAGUUAUUAACGUGUGGCCUAAAGCCUAUAAAGAACUGACAGUGAUGGGGAUAGCAGUGCCCAAAACAAAAAUAAUCAUGAAAUUCUAAUUCAAGUAGCAUCAAAUAUACUGGAAUAAAGGGUCUGGCCUACUUUAAAACCAAGCAUGAGUUCAUUUUACCUUUACUCAUUAAAAAAUAAUAAAGUUAUUUAGACCAUGUGCCAGGCACUGGUCCAGCUUCUGAGGACACAGCAUAGAAGUAUACAAGAGAUGCUAACCUGAUGGUAGACAGAUGGGAGGAUACUUUAAAUAAUCAAUUCUAGACAAUAUUCUCCAGUUUCCACCCUAUUCUAAGAGAAAUGAGGGAAUUCAAGUUUAAGGUUGAUCCUUCAUGAAGUGGUAUUUAAUAGCUGUCUUUCAGACACUUCUUUUCUCCACACCUGUUUGCUGCAGCUUGAAAUUCUAUCACAAGAAGACAAAGCAUUGAUUCCACAAUUACAGAUAAAUAAUAAAAUAUGCAACUGCCGAAAAGAACCAUCACGCUCGCUGAAAUUUUCUCAUUUUUAAAAAGUAGAAUCAGGUAAUAAACAAAACACAAUGACUAUGAUCGAGUUCCCUACAAGUUUUGAUAAUGGGGAGAAAAUUAGAGAAUUUGGAUAGCUACCAAUAUUUUAAGGGAGGAGUAGAAUCAUCAGUGAGGGAAGAGCAAGAAAAAAAAAUGCACUUUGGCUCAUUCUGCCUUCAACUCUGUGGACAAGUGAAGUGUGUAGGCAGAGGACCAAGGGAACCACACAGCCCUGAAUGUACAUGGGGGAAAAUGCACAUACAAUCAUCACCGGCAGAUGAAGUAGUUCAACAUAGUCUCAUAAGCUUAAUGAAGUUGUUCCUUGGCACUUAUUUGCUGACUGCUUUAGCAGUCAACUUCUCAGAGACUUAUUUCUGGUGAACUGACCAAUUAAGGAAUUUUUGUCCUUCCUCAAAGAUAACUCAUAGCAAAGGAUGAAUUCAUUUUGACAGGUAUCUUCCCCGUAACAGUGUUUCUCCCUGACAUACAGGCAUUCACAUGGGGGAAAAUUAGAGGAUCAAUGAAAAGGACAACAACAUUCUAUCAAGAAAAAGAAGGUCACUUUGGAGGUGUGUCUUCCCUUUGAUGACUCUGGACUCUAUAAUCAACAGCAAACCACUUCACAAGAAAAAACUGUUAAUAAGCUGAAUCCCUGGAGGAAAAUUUUUUGGUUUUAAUUUUUUAAGCAGUACUUUUAAAGAUAUUAGAGUUUCAAAUAUGACAUUUCAUGAGUGUACAUUAUUAUUUUGCUACAUUAAUAUUAAUUAUAGUAUGCACUGUAUUUUUUAAAAACUAAAUCCUUGAUGAGAAUAAGGAAACAAUAUACAUAGCAUGUUUUAAAAGUUAGCAUAAUAGUGGGUCUAAUAUUAUUUAUUUACAAGUGUGUACAUAUAAUAUCACACAAUAUAUUAUAACUAGGAAAAUAUAUGUAUAUGCACACUAAAUAUAUUUGCACAUAUAUACAUAUAUGUAUAUAUCUAUUUUUAUAUGUAUUCCUACUCCAUAAAGUUAAUUUUUUAGAGUUUUAAACAUGUCAUUUAGUAAGUUUAUAUUGCUUUAGUACAUUAAAAUGCCCAUGUUAAUUUUAUUUUACUUAUUUACUUUUAAUUUUUUAAAAAUUGCCAAUGCUAAUUUUAGAACUCUGCUAUUUAAAAAGAGUAUUUUAAGAGAGCAAGGGACUUUCCUUGCUUAAGAUGUGUCAUAUAGCCAGUAAUAGUUGUGACUAAUUCAGUGGUAUUACUCAAUGUUUCUCUAAGUUGAGAGUUAGGAGAAAAAUGCUUUUCAACAGUAGCUCUUUGAGGCUUUGGGACAUUGUCAGUGAGUGUCAUGUUAUUACAUUUAUAUCAUUAUAAUCUUCCUAUUAAUGUAGAGUGAUGCGAGCUUCUUGGGCAAAAUCCUACACUCAAGGAUAGCAAGCUGGGCAAAUGUAUAAGAUUGCUAGUCUAUCAAAAUGGAUAAAGUGAUUCUUAUCUAACUACCAUAUAAAAACACAGUGGUAACAGAAUUAAGAGAUUUGCUUUUGUUGAACUCUAUUGAAAUUUGGUUCAGAGAAAUUAACACACCAGAAUUAGGAAACUCUAAGAUAUGGUUAGUUUAGCAUUUCUAGAAGUCAGAGUUAACAAUACAAUUUUAUUAAAAUGAACUUCCUUUUGUUUUGAAAUAUAAAGUGAAAUAAGUAUAUGUUUAUAAAAGUCCCUUCCCAGUCAUUAUUUUAUGAAAGUACAUAAAUACCAUGUAUUUUAAUAUGCCUAAAUGUGGCCAUAAUUUUGUAACGGUUUUCAAGAGAUAUCUUAUUAUGACCCCAAAUGUGGGUCCAGUAAAUUACAGAUGGUUUUAUUACGUCUUUAGUUUCAUAAGUAUUGCUAAAUCAGUUCUUCCAAAGUUGUAAAAGGUAGGGGCUGGAAAGGAGCAGUUGCUCUGCCACUAUCCAAUUGACAAAGGACCCAGUCUCAAAUAACCAAUGCUGAGCCCCAGCACUAAGGACUAGGAUCUUCAACAGGGAAAUGCACUGGAUACAUGAAUUCCCUCAUGAAAACUGCCUGUGGCUACCCAAGGAGAAGGCAUUUUUCCUUAUGGUUACAGUGGGCAUCUACAAAGAUGCUAGUUCCACAGCAGGCUUUACCUCUGACUCUCUUGUGCAGCC